rnacentral:rRNA from 1 species
UCCCAGGAGGCUGCCUUCGCCAUCGGUGUUCCUCCGCAUAUCUACGCAUUUCACUGCUACACGCGGAAUUCCACCUCCCUCUGACACACUCUAGCUCGGUAGUUAAAAAUGCAGUUCCAAAGUUAAGCUCUGGGAUUUCACAUCUUUCUUUCCGAACCGCCUGCGCACGCUUUACGCCCAGUAAUUCCGAUUAACGCUUGCACCCUACGUAUUACCGCGGCUGCUGGCACGUAGUUAGCCGGUGCUUAUUCUGCAGGUACCGUCAGUUUCACGGGGUAUUAGCCCAUGACGUUUCUUUCCUGCCAAAAGUGCUUUACAACCCGAAGGCCUUCAUCGCACACGCGGGAUGGCUGGAUCAGGGUUUCCCCCAUUGUCCAAAAUUCCCCACUGCUGCCUCCCGUAGGAGUCUGGGCCGUGUCUCAGUCCCAGUGUGGCUGGUCGUCCUCUCAAACCAGCUACGGAUCGUCGCCUUGGUGAGCCGUUACCCCACCAACUAGCUAAUCCGAUAUCGGCCGCUCUAAUAGUGCAAGGUCUUGCGAUCCCCUGCUUUCCCCCGUAGGGCGUAUGCGGUAUUAGCUACGCUUUCGCGUAGUUAUCCCCCGCUACUAGGCACGUUCCGAUACAUUACUCACCCGUUCGCCACUCGCCACCAGACCGAAGUCCGUGCUGCCGUUCGACUUGCAUGUGUAAGGCAUCCCG